rnacentral:rRNA from 1 species
AGAGUUUGAUCAUGGCUCAGAAUCAACGCUGGCGGCGUGCCUAACACAUGCAAGUCGCACGAGAAAGGGGCUUCGGUCCUGAGUAAAGUGGCGCACGGGUGAGUAACACGUGACUAAUCUACCCUCGAGUGGGGAAUAACUGAGAGAAAUCUUAGCUAAUACCGCAUAACACUUACGAGUCAAAGCAGCAAUGCGCUUGGGGAGGAGGUCGCGGCCGAUUAGCUAGUUGGCGGGGUAAUGGCCCACCAAGGCGAUGAUCGGUAUCCGGCCUGAGAGGGCGCACGGACACACUGGAACUGAAACACGGUCCAGACUCCUACGGGAGGCAGCAGUGGGGAAUUUUGCGCAAUGGGGGAAACCCUGACGCAGCAACGCCGCGUGGAGGAUGAAAUAUCUUGGUAUGUAAACUCCUUUCGAUGGGGAAGAUUAUGACGGUACCCAUAGAAGAAGCCCCGGCUAACUUCGUGCCAGCAGCCGCGGUAAUACGAGGGGGGCAAGCGUUGUUCGGAUUUAUUGGGCGUAAAGGGUGCGUAGGCGGUUUGAUAAGUCUGAUGUGAAAUCUAUGGGCUCAACCCAUAGUCUGCAUUAGAAACUGUCGGGCUUGAGUAUGGGAGAGGUGAGUGGAAUUUCCGGUGUAGCGGUGAAAUGCGUAGAUAUCGGAAGGAACACCUGUGGCGAAAGCGGCCCACUGGACCAUAACUGACGCUGAUGCACGAAAGCUAGGGGAGCAAACAGGAUUAGAUACCCCCGUAGUCC